rnacentral:rRNA from 1 species
CAGCCCUUGACAUCCCGGUCGCGGACUCCGGAGACGGAGUUCUUCAGUUCGGCUGGACCGGUGACGGGUGCUGCAUGGCUGUCGUCAGCUCGUGUCGUGAGAUGUUGGGUUAAGUCCCGCAACGAGCGCAACCCUCGCCCUUAGUUGCCAUCAUUCAGUUGGGCACUCUAAGGGGACUGCCGGUGAUAAGCCGAGAGGAAGGUGGGGAUGACGUCAGGUCCUCAUGGCCCUUACGGGCUGGGCUACACACGUGCUACAAUGGUGGUGACAGUGGGCAGCGAGACCGCGAGGUCGAGCUAAUCUCCAAAAGCCAUCUCAGUUCGGAUUGCACUCUGCAACUCGAGUGCAUGAAGUUGGAAUCGCUAGUAAUCGCGGAUCAGC